rnacentral:rRNA from 1 species
GACGAACGCUGGCGGCGUGCUUAACACAUGCAAGUCGAACGAUGAAGCCGGAGCUUGCUCUGGUGAAUUAGUGGCGAACGGGUGAGUAACACGUGAGUAACCUGCCCUUGACUCUGGGAUAACUGCUAGAAAUGGUAGCUAAUACCGGAUACGACCCUCGGAGGCAUCUCCAGGGGGUGGAAAGAAUUUCGGUCAAGGAUGGACUCGCGGCCUAUCAGCUAGUUGGUGAGGUAACGGCUCACCAAGGCGACGACGGGUAGCCGGCCUGGGAGGGUGACGGGCCACACUGGGACUGGGACACGGCCCAGACUCCUACGGGAGGCAGCAGUGGGGAAUAUUGCACAAUGGGCGCAAGCCUGAUGCAGCAACGCCGCGUGAGGGAUGACGGCCUUCGGGUUGUAAACCUCUUUUAGUAGGGAAGAAGCGAAAGUGACGGUACCUGCAGAAAAAGCACCGGCUAACUACGUGCCAGCCGCCGCGGUAA